rnacentral:rRNA from 1 species
UUGGAGGGCAAGUCUGGUGCCAGCAGCCGCGGUAAUUCCAGCUCCAAUAGCGUAUAUUAAAGUUGUUGCAGUUAAAAAGCUCGUAGUUGAAUUUCGGGAUCAAUUUAUUGGUCGUGCCAACGGUACGCACUGGUACAAUUGGUUUCUCCCUUCUGACGAAGCAUGAUGUCGUUAAUUUGAUGUCGUGGGGAAUCAGGACUGUUACUUUGAAAAAAUUAGAGUGUUUAAAGCAGGCUUUGGCUUGAAUACAUUAGCAUGGAAUAAUGAAAUAGGACGUUUGAUCUUAUUUCGUUGGUUUCUAAGAUCGACGUAAUGAUUAAUAGGGAUAGUUGGGGGCAUUAGUAUUCAAUUGUCAGAGGUGAGAUUCUUGGAUUUAUUGAAGACUAACUACUGCGAAAGCAUUUGCCAAGGAUGUUUUCAUUAAUCAAGAACGAAAGUUAGGGGAUCGAAGACGAUCAGAUACCGUCGUAGUCUUAACCAUAAACUAUGCCGACUAGGGAUCGGAUGAUGUUAAUUUUUUAAUGACUCAUUCGGCGCCUUACGGGAAAC